UUCGGUUUGUGUAGGAUAGGUGGGAGACUGUGAAGCGGGCACGCCAGUGUUCGUGGAGUCGUUGUUGAAAUACCACUCUGAUCGUAUUGGACAUCUAACCUCGGACCAUGAUCUGGUUCAGGGACAGUGCCUGGUGGGUAGUUUAACUGGGGCGGUUGCCUCCCAAAAUGUAACGGAGGCGCCCAAAGGUUCCCUCAGCCUGGUUGGCAAUCAGGUGUCGAGUGCAAGUGCACAAGGGAGCUUGACUGUGAGACUGACAGGUCGAGCAGGGACGAAAGUCGGGACUAGUGAUCCGGCACCGGCAAGUGGAAGCGGUGUCGCUCAACGGAUAAAAGGUACCCCGGGGAUAACAGGCUGAUCUUCCCCAAGAGUCCAUAUCGACGGGAUGGUUUGGCACCUCGAUGUCGGCUCGUCGCAUCCUGGGGCUGGAGUAGGUCCCAGGGUUGGGCUGUUCGCCCAUUAAAGCGGCACGCGAGCUGGGUUUAGAACGUCGUGAGACAGUUCGGUCUCUAUCCGCCGCGCGCGUUAGAAACUUGAGGAAGGCUGUCCCUAGUACGAGAGGACCGGGACGGACGAACCUCUGGUGUGCCAGUUGUUCCGCAGGAGCACUGCUGGUUACUACGUUCGGAAGGGAUAACCGCUGAAAGCAUCUAAGCGGAAGCCUGUUCCAAGAUGAGGUUUUCACCCCCUCGAGGGGUAAGGCCCCGGCAGACCACCGGGUUGAUAGGCCAGAACUGGAAGCACAGUAAUGUGUGGAGGUGACUGGUACUAAUAGGCCGAGGACUUACCACAA
rnacentral:rRNA from 1 species